GCACGGCACCAGCUCGUGCAGAACGGCGGCAGCGAUGCAGCUGGAGGCGGGGCCACGUCCGCGGUUGCUGAUGUCAAAGGUGUCGUUCGGCAUGAUCAGCUCCUUGAAGUAGCGCCACAGGGGCAGACGCCAAACGCGAUCCCCCGUAAGGGCACCGGCCUUCUCGAACUGCUUGUAGACGAAGU